GACACUUUGGCCGAGUGGUUAAGGCGACGCCCUGCUAUAAUUUGCAUGUUAGGCGUUGGAUUUAUCCGCGUGUGUUCGAAUCGCACAGGUGUCG